rnacentral:rRNA from 1 species
UACGUAGGGGGCAAGCGUUGUCCGGAUUUAUUGGGCGUAAAGCGCUCGCAGGUGGUCCGAUGCGUCGUGCGUGAAAGACCCCGGCUCAACUGGGGAGGGUCAUUCGAUACUGAUCGACUCGAAGGCAGGAGAGGGUAGUGGAAUUCCCGGUGUAGUGGUGAAAUGCGUAGAUAUCGGGAGGAACACCAGUGGCGAAGGCGACUACCUGGCCUGUUCUUGACGCUGAGGCGCGAAAGCUAGGGGAGCAAACGGG